CAGAAAAAAGAAACCUUUGGAAUAUUUGGAUCUCAGUGAUCCUGUCUCUUGUGGUGCUAAGUGCAGCAUGCGCAAUACUGAUAUGGUUUUACAAAAAGAGAAAAUACCAUUCUGGGUGAGCAUUGAUUCACAUUGAGGAGAAAUAAUUCAUUUAGUUUUUUAUAUCAGGCAGUUAUUCAAUAAACGGAGAUAUGUGCUGACAUUUGUAUUUGCAGACAUUAGAAUAAAACAGCUGGGUUGGAAUAUCUUCAGAAUGUAGCUUAGAAUUUGCAUAUUUUCAGUUUACUGUUUAGUAAAUAAACCAUGUUCUAGACUUGUCAUGGGAUUUCUGUGCUUAAACUGGGAGCCCAUAUUAUACUCAUUAUUUACACAGUCACCCUGUCACAAACACUCCUCCACAGACCAUGCCACCUGUUCCACUCGCACUCUUCACAUACCGCCAUCCAACCACCCACCUAGUCAUACCCACCCACCAUGUCAGAUUCUCAUACCGACUUACCCAGUCACCUUCACUAUUCGAUAAAAUACCAAAAACAAGCCAGAUUUACCUUACUUAUCACGUACCCCAGUUUAGUCGCAUUCAGUUAUCUAAGUCACAAAUUAAGUGUGGUACCCCACCUACUGACAUACAACCAUUCAGUUACACAACCUACUCACUUACAUUUACUCAUUAAGUCUCAUAUCCCAGCCUACAGCUAUUCACUAAGCUGGACAGUCAGUGAAGUUCAUAUUUUGGGCCACAAUAGCAAAAUUUCUCGCUUGUUUAUUUUGACCUAAAACGUAUAAUUUUUUGUUCAAUUCCCAACAAUUUCGAGUUUAGUGGAUAACACUGCAAUUCCCUGUUACCCAUCUGAUUACAUACUGCAACCUGUUCCCAUACUCCCAUCUACCCUCACCAGCUCGGUCACAUUCUCCACAUUCACAUGACCACAUACAAUCACCUAACCCCUGUCACAAGCACACAUUACCCAUAUGUCCACAGCCACAGAUCACACAUGCAGUUACUCAUACAUAUGGUGUCUCUCACGUACCUAUACACAUAGCAGACAGAGGUAUGGUGGGGGCAGAACGUUUCAUAUUUUAUGGAUUAGAUAGGUUUGUGGAUUCCAUUCUCACUAUGUUCGGCAAACCCUAAGCAUUAUGGAAAUCUUGUUCAAAUAUAUCUUAAGUGCCAUUUAAAGCCAUCAUUCUUAGUGGCCGCAUUUCUUAUGUACAUCCACCUGUCAAGGAAAGGUUAGGACAUAUAGAAAGGUAGGGGCAAAUUUGUCCAGAUCAACAAGGCACAAAAAAAAAAAUCUUACACCCAGUUUCCACUGACCCUUGGCUCACCGCUGACUGUUUUAUACUUACCUCAUCCAUAAACCGAAACCAUCAAAUACUUGGAAUUUAUUGGGAUAAUAGAAUGUGGAACUGUCUUUAUCAGAAACUGCCCCUUAGAUCCACGUGUGGUAAGUCUGACUCGUAAGAGUAGGCUUGUGAGUCUGACUACAAUUUGAGCAACACUGGGUGAUUCCCCAGAAAACAUUGAGCAACAAAUUAUGUAACCAGCAGGCUGCUGGUAUCUGGAAAAUAAAUAGGAUUUUACAAGAAUUCCUCGUGAUCCCUGGAGAGUACAGACAUCAUUUGUCCUAAAGCACACUUUAGCUUUAGAGACUAUCAUGUAAAAGAUGUUUGUUUUACAGAGAGGCAGUUAAUAUUUACUUUGAGAGAGAAUGAGUUCUAGACUUCUUCCUCAAUUUACGCAGCUUGAAUUCACCUCUACGUGUAGAAAUAGGUAAUUAUUACCAAUAUCACAAAUAUCAGAAUAUAGUUUAAGGCAAAAAAAAGUGCAGAAAUGAUGAAAAGUGUUUAUUUUAAAAAUAUAUAUAUAUAUUUUUUUUGUAUUGAAAAAGUAUCAAAAAAUAUUUAUUAAUACAUACUUUUCCAUUUAUUACAUACAUGUAACAUUACAUACAAACAUUUUGCUCAGGGCUUACUAACGGGGUAUGGGUCUUUCUAACAUUUUCUCUUAAUUUCCUCUAUUCUUCCUUUUCUUUCUCUUUUCUUCUUUUGAUUAGUAUUGUCCAAGGUUAUAUCUUUACUUCUAAUGUGAUAUUUUAUCUAUUAAAUCUAGCCAGUCUUAAUUUAUUAAAGAGAAAUAUAUGCAUACAUAGUGGGUGGGGUAUCUUGGUUCAGGGUAACGGAUGGUGGUACAAAUACAGAUGGAAUAACUGUAAAGAUACAAUGGUAGACAGGCACCUAGUGCAAUAGAAGUAGUAAGUGGGCACUUAAUAAGUGGAUUGUAUGUUUGGAGUGGUUAAUUAUGUAUCACUGGAUUGAUGUGCACAAUAACCUACUUAAUGGCUUUUUGUGUGAAAAGCUGAACUAUGUGUCACUGGUGUGUGACACGUUGAUAAGGGGCACAGAUAGAAAAUUAAAUAGUAAGAGCCUUCUUGACACAAGUAUUUUUAAUAUUAGGGAGAGAGCAGUGAUUGGUAAAUUGGACUUUUACAUACUGAGCAUGCAAUUAGCAGAGUUAAAUGCGUAUAAAUAGCACAUUUAGCGCAUGAUCAAUACAUUUAAAAAAGAUGCAAUUAGCUGCAUUCAUUAGCAACUAAGUAAAUUGCUCCUGAUACUCUGUUGUCUCAAAGGAUUAACCAUUGAUUACCAGCAAUUCGGACAUUCGUAAGCAUUCGUAAGCAUUUGAAUGUACAUUCGGAACGAAACUAGUUGCACAUGUCUAAAAACUAUCUGUUAUUUCUGAAGCUAAUGAUUCAAUUGAUACUAUGUAUAACAGGGGUGACAAAGGGCACCCCUGUCUUGUACCAUUGCUUAUUAGGAACCAAUCGGCUAGGAUAUUUUGGCCCACCGCUCUUGCUGUUGGACAUGAAUACAAUGAUUUGAUAGAGCUGAACAUAAAACCAUUGAAUCCAAAAUUACUAAGAGACUGAAACAGAUACCCCCAGUCUACCCAAUCAAACGUUUUUUUCUGCGUCUAUUGAUAUUGUUUAAAAUGAUUGCUUAUCUCUCUCUGCCUUGUCUAAUUGAUUAAUUAGUCUUCUGAUGUUAUUAUAGGAUAUUCUUCCUGAUAUAAAUCCUAUUUGAUCUCGGUGUGUAUAUCUGGGAGUAUCUGUUUCAGUCUCUGAGUUAAUGAGAGAAAUUGGUCUGUAUUUCUCUGUAUUUUUCUUAUCUUUUAAUAUAGGUAAGAUAUUAGCCCUUUAAAAUUCUUCUGGGGAGUGGCCUUUUUCUUAAAUUUCAUUAGAUGCCAUUGACAGAUGGCCACUGAUGUUAUCUUUCAUGACUUUGUAAAAUAUUCCACUAAACCCAUCUGGGCCAGGUGCUUUUUGUUUUUUAUAUUAUCUAUGGUCCACAUCACUUCUUCUUCACUGAUUGGAUUAUUCAGCUCUUUUUUUUUAAUGUUAGAAAUUCUGUAAAUCUGAAUUUUAUCCAGGUAUUUGUUAUUUUUCCUGAUCUUAUACUGAUGGAUCUGUUGCAUAGUUGACUAUAAUACUUAUUAAAAACUGUACCUAUGUCUUUUGGUGACAUAUGGAUAUGACCAGGGCCAGCCUUAGGCCUUUAGGUGCCCUGUGCAAAACAUAUUCGCAGUGCCCCCCCCCUCCACUGUCAUCCAUGUAUAGUUUGUGUAUAGAAGUGUAGCAAUUGUAAAGGGGAUUUAUUAAAUAAAUAUUGAUUUAAAAAUAAAUAUUCAUUACACACACAGAGUUACAGGCAGACAGUCACACACACAGUUACAGGCAGACAAUUACAAACACACACAAACAGAUGGACAGUCACGUACAUACAGCCAGCCAGUGUAACACACACUCCGUUACAUGCAGACAGCCACAUACACACAGGCAGACAGUCACACACACAGACACAGGCAGAAAAUCACACACACACACACACACACACAGGCAAACAGUCACACACAGGCAGACAGUCACACACACACACAGGCAGUCACACACAGGCAGACAGUCACACACAUACACACACACACAGGCAGUCACACACACACACACACACACAGGCAGUCACACACACAUACACAGGCAGUCACACACAGGCAGACAGUCACACACACACAGGCAAACAGUCACACACAGGCAGACAAGCACACACUGUUGCCUUCAUUAUGGAGAUGGAAGUAGUGCAGCUUCUGGAUUCUGCUUGUUGGGGAAGCAGGGACUCUUUCCUGCUUCACAUGCAGCAAUUGCCAGGUCCGGCACUUCUAGCCCCGCCCCGCCAUCAUUUAGCCCAACCCCACACACGCUAAGCCCCGCCCCUACCGCAAUGCUUUUGUUGUUUUUUUUUAAUCCCGGUGGAGAAUAAGGAAAUCCUCCACCCCGGCAGCCGGCCAUGUGUGAGCUGUGUCGGCUGUCAGGGUGCCCCCUGCUCCAAGGCGCCCUGUGUGGUCGCACAGCUCGCACACCUCUAAGGACGGCCCUGGAUAUGACCGUCGUCAUCAACAAUUUUGUAUAUAUGAUUAUUUGCCUGUUUGUUUGUUUUAGUUGGUUUGAUAUCAUUUUAUCUGCUUUAUUAUUUUUACGGUAGCAAGCCUGUUUUAACUUUUCUAAUUACCAACUAAACUUUUUAAUUUCUUCUUCUUUCACCUUUUUUGGAGAUUAAUUAUAUCAUUAGAUCCAUUAGGUAUUGGAUUUCACAUAUUUUCUUUUUUUAAGUUUUAAAGGUUAAUAUAUAACGAAUUAAUAUUGUCCCCUUUUUGUUUAUUGGCUGGUGCUCCAAUUUUUUAUUAAAUACCUUCUUCACGCUCUUUUAAAAGCGCACCAUAAAGCUGCUUUGGAAUUAACAGAAUUUGUAUUUUCAUUGAAAUAUAAUUCUGUCAUCUACUUUAUAUAUGCUAAAUGUUCUUCUUUUAUUAGGAGUUACUCAUUUAAUCUCCGUUGUCUGUUUAUAUUAUAUUCCUUCCUGUCCUUAAUCGACCAAAAUACUGCAUUGUGGUCAGACCAUAUAGUCUGAAAUGUGUUUAUAUUGCAUCAGUAGCAGACUUUCAGAAGUGCUUUCAGACAGUUCACAUUACAUUGGAGAAGGAGAAACACAAUGGGGAGAUAUAGCAAAGUGUUAUGUUCUGAAAUGUGGUGCUUAAUACUAAAAGGAGUGGAGUCACAAUGGAAUGUGCCUGAUGGUUCCACUUGUUUCCAUGGUGACUUCCCCACUUUGUACCAUUUUUCAGAACACAGCACAUUGAUAAUUCUACCUUAUCAUUUCUGUCUCUCAUCUUCUGCUUGCUAUGUUUUUCUCCGGGCCAUUAAAGGGACACUCCAAACACCUAAACACGUCCUGCUGGAGCGUGUGUCUAUUUUUUUUCAACUCUACAUAAAGGGCAGUUUUCAAUAGAAAUUGACACUUUUAUAAGUUAGACUUGUUACACCCCCCUGAAUGUCAAUCAGACAAUGGGUCCCAUUACUUCCUGGUUUGGUUAGCUCAGUGGAGCUAUACUCAAGAUGCAGCAAUCUCCCAGAGCACUUGCCUAGCAAAGACUUCUCACUGAGCUACAUUUGGAAGUCUGUGAUUGGACAGCCACCGAAAGUCUGGGUGGGGCUACAAAGGGAGGGCUAGCAAAGGGAUCUGCAGCUUUUGCAAGUUGUUUUUUAGAUAAACCCCAAUGAGAAAAAAUGCAUAAUUAAAUCUAUGCAUGUUUUUAUUGUGGAUAUAUCUACUAAAUAGUGAUUUAUGUAUUUUUAUUUGGUCAGUGUAGUGUCCUUUUAAUUAUCUUCACCUCCAUGCAGAUAUUUGUGGAAGUUCUAGGAAGGCCUGACCAACAGGUGCAAAGGGCGGAGCCUAUAACAAUGAUUAACACAGAGCCAAGAUGGAGGCAUUUAGUUUCUAUAUGAAAUUUUGUUUUUCAGUCCUCACAAACACAUAAUUGUUACAUUUAGGGUUAAGUGAACCUAAUAGCCCGGGAAGUAUCCUUUUAGUAUUUUAAAUAAUGUAACUGCUGCAUAGCUUACAUACAACACAGAUAUCGCUGUGGAAAUUGUCACAGGAAGUCACUUGAUAUCAAUCUCUGUUCGCAGAAAGAAACCAAAAAGUCCAAUAAGUGGGAAAGAGACAAGGCGUUUUCAGCCAUCGGAUGAUUAUUACUGUGAAAUAAAAAAUCUC